GUGUCUUCGUGUGUUUGUGUUUCCCAUUUUAUCUUCUAAGUUUCUAUCAUUAAAAAAGAUAGAACCCUGAAACCCUUACAUGCUAUGGUUGUCCUUGGUUAAUUUCCGUCUGACAAAUAUUUUUUUUGUAAAUUAUUUUGUUAUAAAUUAGGCUUCUUUGAGCUGUUUCAGUAUCCCUCAUAUUUCCUUGGCUUUCAAUUUUUUGUCUUUGAAUGUUCCUGAUGAUGGUAAUUCCAG
rnacentral:lncRNA from 1 species